rnacentral:rRNA from 1 species
UACGUAGGGUGCGAGCGUUGUCCGGAAUUAUUGGGCGUAAAGAGCUCGUAGGCGGCUUGUCGCGUCGUCCGUGAAAACCUGCAGCUCAACUGCAGGCUUGCGGUCGAUACUGGGCAGGCUAGAGUUCGGUAGGGGAGACUGGAAUUCCUGGUGUAGCGGUGAAAUGCGCAGAUAUCAGGAGGAACACCGGUGGCGAAGGCGGGUCUCUGGGGCCGUAACUGACGCCUGAGGAGCGAAAAGCGUGGGGAGCGAACAGG